GGGUUGUGAGGUUAAGCGACUAAGCGUACACGGUGGAUGCCCUGGCAGUCAGAGGCGAUGAAGGACGUGCUAAUCUGCGAAAAGCGUCGGUAAGGUGAUAUGAACCGUUAUAGCCGGCGAUGUCCGAAUGGGGAAACCCAGUGCAAUUCGUUGCACUAUCGUUAACUGAAUACAUAGGUUAACGAGGCGAACCGGGGGAACUGAAACAUCUAAGUACCCCGAGGAAAAGAAAUCAACCGAGAUUCCCCCAGUAGCGGCGAGCGAACGGGGAGCAGCCCGGAGUCUGAAUCAGCUUGUGUGUUAGUGGAAGCGUCUGGAAAGUCGCAGGGUACAGGGUGAUACUCCCGUACACUAAAGCACACAGGUUGUGAACUCGAAGAGUAGGGCGGGACACGUGGUAUCCUGUCUGAAUAUGGGGGGACCAUCCUCCAAGGCUAAAUACUCCUGACUGACCGAUAGUGAACCAGUACCGUGAGGGAAAGGCGAAAAGAACCCCGGCGAGGGGAGUGAAAAAGAACCUGAAACCGUGUACGUACAAGCAGUAGGAGCCCACUUGUUGGGUGACUGCGUACCUUUUGUAUAAUGGGUCAGCGACUUAUAUUCUGUAGCAAGGUUAACCGUAUAGGGGAGCCGCAGGGAAACCGAGUCUUAACUGGGCGUUAAGUUGCAGGGUAUAGACCCGAAACCCGGUGAUCUAGCCAUGGGCAGGUUGAAGGUUGGGUAACACUAACUGGAGGACCGAACCGACUAAUGUUGAAAAAUUAGCGGAUGACUUGUGGCUGGGGGUGAAAGGCCAAUCAAACCGGGAGAUAGCUGGUUCUCCCCGAAAGCUAUUUAGGUAGCGCCUCGUGAACUCAUCUUCGGGGGUAGAGCACUGUUUCGGCUAGGGGGUCAUCCCGACUUACCAACCCGAUGCAAACUACGAAUACCGAAGAAUGUUAUCACGGGAGACACACGGCGGGUGCUAACGUCCGUCGUGAAGAGGGAAACAACCCAGACCGCCAGCUAAGGUCCCAAAGUCAUGGUUAAGUGGGAAACGAUGUGGGAAGGCCCAGACAGCCAGGAUGUUGGCUUAGAAGCAGCCAUCAUUUAAAGAAAGCGUAAUAGCUCACUGGUCGAGUCGGCCUGCGCGGAAGAUGUAACGGGGCUAAACCAUGCACCGAAGCUGCGGCAGCGACACUAUGUGUUGUUGGGUAGGGGAGCGUUCUGUAAGCCGUUGAAGGUGGCCUGUGAGGGUUGCUGGAGGUAUCAGAAGUGCGAAUGCUGACAUAAGUAACGAUAAUGCGGGUGAAAAACCCGCACGCCGGAAGACCAAGGGUUCCUGUCCAACGUUAAUCGGGGCAGGGUGAGUCGACCCCUAAGGCGAGGCCGAAAGGCGUAGUCGAUGGGAAACAGGUUAAUAUUCCUGUACUCGGUGUUACUGCGAAGGGGGGACGGAGAAGGCUAUGUUGGCCGGGCGACGGUUGUCCCGGUUUAAGCAUGUAGGCGGAUGUUCCAGGUAAAUCCGGAACGUUAUUAACGCUGAGGUGUGAUGACGAGGCACUACGGUGCUGAAGUGACAAAUGCCCUGCUUCCAGGAAAAGCCUCUAAGCAUCAGGUAACAUCAAAUCGUACCCCAAACCGACACAGGUGGUCAGGUAGAGAAUACCAAGGCGCUUGAGAGAACUCGGGUGAAGGAACUAGGCAAAAUGGUGCCGUAACUUCGGGAGAAGGCACGCUGAUGGUAGGUGAAGUGACUUGCUCAUGGAGCUGAAAUCAGUCGAAGAUACCAGCUGGCUGCAACUGUUUAUUAAAAACACAGCACUGUGCAAACACGAAAGUGGACGUAUACGGUGUGACGCCUGCCCGGUGCCGGAAGGUUAAUUGAUGGGGUUAUCCGUAAGGAGAAGCUCUUGAUCGAAGCCCCGGUAAACGGCGGCCGUAACUAUAACGGUCCUAAGGUAGCGAAAUUCCUUGUCGGGUAAGUUCCGACCUGCACGAAUGGCGUAAUGAUGGCCAGGCUGUCUCCACCCGAGACUCAGUGAAAUUGAACUCGCUGUGAAGAUGCAGUGUACCCGCGGCAAGACGGAAAGACCCCGUGAACCUUUACUAUAGCUUGACACUGAACACUGGUCCUUGAUGUGUAGGAUAGGUGGGAGGCUUUGAAGUGUGGACGCCAGUCUGCAUGGAGCCAUCCUUGAAAUACCACCCUUUAAUGGCUGGUGUUCUAACGUGGGCCCGUAAUCCGGGUUGCGGACAGUGUCUGGUGGGUAGUUUGACUGGGGCGGUCUCCUCCUAAAGAGUAACGGAGGAGCACGAAGGUCAGCUAAUCCUGGUCGGACAUCAGGAGGUUAGUGCAAUGGCAUAAGCUGGCUUGACUGCGAGCGUGACGGCGCGAGCAGGUGCGAAAGCAGGUCAUAGUGAUCCGGUGGUUCUGAAUGGAAGGGCCAUCGCUCAACGGAUAAAAGGUACUCCGGGGAUAACAGGCUGAUACCGCCCAAGAGUUCAUAUCGACGGCGGUGUUUGGCACCUCGAUGUCGGCUCAUCACAUCCUGGGGCUGAAGUAGGUCCCAAGGGUAUGGCUGUUCGCCAUUUAAAGUGGUACGCGAGCUGGGUUUAGAACGUCGUGAGACAGUUCGGUCCCUAUCUGCCGUGGGCGCUGGAGAAUUGAGGGGGGCUGCUCCUAGUACGAGAGGACCGGAGUGGACGCAUCACUGGUGUUCGGGUUGUCAUGCCAAUGGCAUUGCCCGGUAGCUAAAUGCGGAAGAGAUAAGUGCUGAAAGCAUCUAAGCACGAAACUUGCCCCGAGAUGAGUUCUCCCUGACCCUUUAAGGGUCCUGAAGGAACGUUGAAGACGACGACGUUGAUAGGCCGGGUGUGUAAGCGCAGCGAUGCGUUGAGCUAACCGGUACUAAUGAACCGUGAGGCUUAACCUUACAACGCCGAAG
rnacentral:rRNA from 1 species